AUUGAACGCUGGCGGCAGGCUUAACACAUGCAAGUCGAGCGAGCGGCGGACGGGUGAGUAAUGUCUGGGAAACUGCCUGAUGGAGGGGGAUAACUACUGGAAACGGUAGCUAAUACCGCAUACCAUCAGAUGUGCCCAGAUGGGAGUAGCUAGUAGGUGGGGUAAUGGCUCACCUAGGCGACGAUCCCUAGCUGGUCUGGUAGGAUGACCCGCCACACUGGAACGGAGACACGGUCCAGACUCCUACGGGAGGCAGCAGUGGGGAAUAUUGCACAAUGGGCGCAGACCUGGUGCAGCCAUGCCGCAUGUGUGAAGAAGGCCUUCGGGUUGUAAAGCACUUUCAGCGAGGAGGCGUUACUCGCAGAAGAAGCACCGACUGACUCCGUGCGAGCAGCCGCGGUAAUAC
rnacentral:rRNA from 1 species